AGGCUUUGUCAUCUUGAAGGAGAAUCCUGAUUACAGAGAUGAUCAAUAGUGACCUCUAAAAGGUAUAUGAAUGGACGAGUCGGAAGAAGUUUUUUAGAUGGUUUACGAUAUUUGUUCAAGGAAGAAUGGCUGGAGUUAUUGAUAACACUGUCUAAUAUGCUGAAGUUGCUUUGCGAUGAGAUCCAUUUACUAACAUGCUAUCAGGGCCAUCUUCGCUUAGAAGUGUCUGAGUUUUUCAACUUUGUUUUUCACCGGCACUGUCUUUCAUGAUGUGUUCUUUACUUUUGCCCCAUUGAUGUACUCUGUAUAAAACUCCAGAUAGUUAUUUAUUUCAGAAGUUGAAACCGAAAUCGUUGUUACAGAUUUCUGUUCACGUUCACGGAAUUUGUUUUAUUUCAGGCAUAGUGUAAUGAUACUGCUUUAUGCUUUGUGAGAACUGAGUAAUGUAAAAGAUGAAAAUGACGAUAU
rnacentral:misc_RNA from 1 species